rnacentral:rRNA from 1 species
AUUGAACGCUGGCGGCAUGCCUAACACAUGCAAGUCGAACGGUAACGACGGGAGCUUGCUCCCGGGCGACGAGUGGCGGACGGGUGAGUAAUACUUAGGAAUCUGCCCAGUAGUGGGGGACAACUCGAGGAAACUCGAGCUAAUACCGCAUACGCCCUACGGGGGAAAGUGGAGGAUCUUCGGACUUCACGCUAUUGGAUGAGCCUAAGUCGGAUUAGCUUGUAGGUAGGGUAACGGCCUACCUAGGCAACGAUCCGUAGCUGGUCUGAGAGGACGAUCAGCCACACUGGAACUGAGACACGGUCCAGACUCCUACGGGAGGCAGCAGUGGGGAAUAUUGGACAAUGGGGGCAACCCUGAUCCAGCAAUGCCGCGUGUGUGAAGAAGGCCUGCGGGUUGUAAAGCACUUUCAGUAGAGAAGAAAAGCUUACGGUUAAUACCCGUGAGUCUUGACGUAACCUACAGAAGAAGCACCGGCUAACUCCGUG